GGCAGAGUGGUGUAGUGGUUAAGAGCGGUAGACUCGUAAUCUGGUGAACUGGGUUCACUUCCCCGCUCCUCCA
rnacentral:tRNA from 1 species